GUGGGGAAUAUUGGACAAUGGGGGCAACCCUGAUCCAGCAAUGCCGCGUGUGUGAAGAAGGUUUUCGGAUUGUAAAGCACUUUCGGCGGGGACGAUGAUGACGGUACCCGCAGAAGAAGCCCCGGCUAACUUCGUGCCAGCAGCCGCGGUAAUACGAAGGGGGCUAGCGUUGCUCGGAAUGACUGGGCGUAAAGGGCGUGUAGGCGGUUUGCACAGUCAGGUGUGAAAUUCCUGGGCUUAACCUGGGGGCUGCAUUUGAUACGUGUAGACUAGAGUAUGAGAGAGGGUUGUGGAAUUCUCAGUGUAGAGGUGAAAUUCGUAGAUAUUGGGAAGAACACCGGUGGCGAAGGCGGCAACCUGGCUCAUAACUGACGCUGAGGCGCGAAAGCGUGGGGAGCAAACAGGAUUAGAAACCCCAGUAGUCC
rnacentral:rRNA from 1 species